AGAGUUUGAUCCUGGCUCAGGAUGAACGCUAGCGGCAGGCCUAAUACAUGCAAGUCGGACGGGAUUCCAGUGUAGCUUGCUAUACUGGAUGAGAGUGGCGCACGGGUGCGUAACGCGUGAGCAACCUGCCCAUGUCAGGGGGAUAGCCCGUUGAAAGACGGAUUAAUACCGCAUAACACAUAAGUACCGCAUGGUUCUUAUGUCAAAUAUUUAUAGGACAUGGAUGGGCUCGCGUGGCAUUAGCUAGUUGGUAAGGUAACGGCUUACCAAGGCGAUGAUGCCUAGGGGCUCUGAGAGGAGUGACCCCCACACUGGUACUGAGACACGGACCAGACUCCUACGGGAGGCAGCAGUAGGGAAUAUUGGUCAAUGGGCGGGAGCCUGAACCAGCCAUGCCGCGUGCGGGAAGAAGGCCCUAUGGGUCGUAAACCGCUUUUAUACGGGAACAACCGCAUGUACGUGUACGUGUCUGAGUGUACCGUAGGAAUAAGGAUCGGCUAACUCCGUGCCAGCAGCCGCGGUAAUACGGAGGAUCCGAGCGUUAUCCGGAAUUAUUGGGUUUAAAGGGUGCGUAGGCGGCACUUUAAGUCAGGGGUGAAAUACAGCGGCUCAACCGUUGCAGUGCCCUUGAUACUGAAGUGCUUGAAUUCGGACGAAGGAGGCGGAACGGGACAAGUAGCGGUGAAAUGCAUAGAUAUGUCCCAGAACCCCGAUUGCGAAGGCAGCUUCCUAGGCCGAUAUUGACGCUGAUGCACGAAAGCGUGGGGAUCGAACAGGAUUAGAUACCCUGGUAGUCCACGCCCUAAACGAUGAUGACUCGAUGUUUGCGAUAUAUUGUAAGCGUCCAAGCGAAAGCGUUAAGUCAUCCACCUGGGGAGUACGAUCGCAAGAUUGAAACUCAAAGGAAUUGACGGGGGCCCGCACAAGCGGAGGAGCAUGUGGUUUAAUUCGAUGAUACGCGAGGAACCUUACCCGGGCUUGAAAGUUAGCGACGG
rnacentral:rRNA from 1 species